UACGUAGGUGGCAAGCGUUGUCCGGAUUUAUUGGGCGUAAAGCGAGCGCGGGCGGUCUUUUAAGUCUGAUGUGAAAGCCCCCGGCUUAACCGGGGAGGGUCAUUGGAAACUGGGAGACUUGAGUGCAGAAGAGGAAAGCGGAAUUCCAUGUGUAGCGGUGAAAUGCGUAGAUAUAUGGAGGAACACCAGUGGCGAAGGCGGCUUUCUGGUCUGUAACUGACGCUGAGGCUCGAAAGCGUGGGGAGCAAACAGG
rnacentral:rRNA from 1 species